rnacentral:rRNA from 1 species
GAGGAAUAUUGGGCAAUGCCCGCAAGGGUGACCCAGCAACGCCGCGUGGAGGAUGAAUGUCGUAAGAUUGUAAAUUCCCAUUAGAUGGGAAAUGAUGGUACUUCUGAAGUAAGCUCCGGCUAACUACGUGCCAGCAGCCGCGGUAAUACGUAGGGAGCAAGCGUUGUCCGGAUUUACUGGGUGUAAAGGGUGCUCAGGCGGAUUUGUAAGUCAGAGGUGAAAUCUCACAGCUUAACUGUGAAACUGCCUUUGAUACUGCAAGCCUAGAGUAUGGAAGAGAGUGAUGGAAUAUCUGGUGUAGCAGUGAAAUGCGUAGAUAUCAGAUAGAACACCAAUGGCGAAGGCAGUCACUUGGUCCAUUACUGACGCUAAAGCACGAAAGCGUGGGUAGCAAACA